rnacentral:rRNA from 1 species
CCCGCACAAGCGGAGGAACAUGUGGUUAAUUCGAUGAUACGCGAGGAACCUUACCCGGGCUCGAACGGUGCAGGAUAUUCCAGAGAUGGGAUAGCUAGCAAUAGUCUGUAUCGAGGUGCUGCAUGGUUGUCGUCAGCUCGUGCCGUGAGGUGUCGGCUUAAGUGCCAUAACGAGCGCAACCCUUAUCAUUAGUUGCCAGCGGGUCAAGCCGGGAACUCUAAUGAGACUGCCACCGUAAGGUGUGAGGAAGGUGGGGAUGACGUCAAAUCAGCACGGCCCUUACGUCCGGGGCGACACACGUGUUACAAUGGGGGGUACAGAGGGUCGCUACCUAGUGAUAGGAUGCUAAUCUCAUAAAGCCUCUCUCAGUUCGGAUCGGAGUCUGCAACUCGACUCCGUGAAGCUGGAUUCGCUAGUAAUCGCGCAUCAGCCAUGGCGCGGUGAAUACGUUCCCGGGCCUU